AGACACCCUUCUGGGGCAAGACUUGCUUCAGUGGGGCUUGGCGCUCACUGAGUCUGCCCCCUGAGUGUGUCCCU
rnacentral:pre_miRNA from 1 species